GACGAACGCUGGCGGCGUGCCUAAUACAUGCCAGUCGAGCGAAGUUUUUCUGGUGCUUGCACUAGAAAAACUUAGCGGCGAACGGGUGAGUAACACGUAAAGAACCUGCCUCAUGGACUGGGACAACUAUUGGAAACGAUAGCUAAUACCGGAUAACAGUAUUUCUCGCAUGAGAGAUAUUUAAAAGUUGGUUAUGCUAACACUAUGAGAUGGCUUUGCGGUGCAUUAGCUAGUUGGUGGGGUAAAGGCCCACCAAGGCGACGAUGCAUAGCCGACCUGAGAGGGUGAUCGGCCACACUGGGACUGAGACACGGCCCAGACUCCUACGGGAGGCAGCAGUAGGGAAUCUUCCGCAAUGGGCGAAAGCCUGACGGAGCAACGCCGCGUGAGUGAAGAAGGAUUUCGGUUCGUAAAGCUCUGUUGUUAGGGAAGAAUGGAUAUGUAGUAACUAUACAUGUAAGAGACGGUACCUAACCAGAAAGCCACGGCUAACUACGUG
rnacentral:rRNA from 1 species